UACUACUACAACUGAUGAUGAUGAUGAUGAUGAUGAUGAUGAUACUUACAAGGAAAGCGAGAGAAAGAAUAGCAAUAGCAAAACCUACUCCCGAUUGUGAGAAAAUGAAGACGAGGAGUAAACGUUAAACAAUAGAUAUGAAAAUGAAUUAGUCCCUAUGAAAUAUGGUUUCCUUGGCAACAUGUUCCUUGUUCAAAUGGGAUCCAUUCUCGGCGGUCGCUAUGUGAAGGAAUGUAAGUGGAAUAAAAUAUCUCCAGUAGAUCUGAUCUCGCAUUUGUUGGUCCGGGAGUUCAGUAUCAGAAACCAUAAGACUAUUUUCCCUCUGAAAAUUAAAAUGAAUUUUUUUCUUAA